rnacentral:rRNA from 1 species
UCGGAAACGGACGCUAAUACCGCAUACGUCCUACGGGAGAAAGCAGGGGACCUUCGGGCCUUGCGCUAUCAGAUGAGCCUAGGUCGGAUUAGCUAGUUGGUGAGGUAAUGGCUCACCAAGGCGACGAUCCGUAACUGGUCUGAGAGGAUGAUCAGUCACACUGGAACUGAGACACGGUCCAGACUCCUACGGGAGGCAGCAGUGGGGAAUAUUGGACAAUGGGCGAAAGCCUGAUCCAGCCAUGCCGCGUGUGUGAAGAAGGUCUUCGGAUUGUAAAGCACUUUAAGUUGGGAGGAAGGGCAUUAACCUAAUACGUUAGUGUUUUGACGUUACCGACAGAAUAAGCACCGGCUAACUCUGUGCCAGCAGCCGCGGUAAUACAGAGGGUGCAAGCGUUAAUCGGAAUUACUGGGCGUAAAGCGCGCGUAGGUGGUUCGUUAAGUUGGAUGUGAAAUCCCCGGGCUCAACCUGGGAACUGCAUUCAAAACUGUCGAGCUAGA